rnacentral:misc_RNA from 1 species
GGAAGUAAAAGUCGUAACAAGAUUUCCGUAGGUGAACCUGCGGAAGGAUCAUUACUGAGUGAGGGCCCUCUGGGUCCAACCUCCCACCCGUGUUUAUUAUACCUUGUUGUUCGGUGAGCCCGCCUCACGGCCGCCGGGGGGCAUCUGCCCCCGGGCCCGCGCCCACCGAAGACACCUAGAACUCUGUAUGAAGAUUGCAGUCUGAGCAAAAACUAAAUAAGUUAAAACUUUCAACAACGGACCUCUCGGUUCUG